rnacentral:tRNA from 1 species
AUAUUAUUUUGGCAGAUUAGUGCUUUAAAUUUAGAAUUUAAUUAUGUGAGAGUAUUCACAGGUAAUAC